rnacentral:rRNA from 1 species
UACGUAGGGGGCUAGCGUUGUCCGGAAUCAUUGGGCGUAAAGAGCGUGUAGGCGGCCCGGUAAGUCCGCUGUGAAAGUCGGGGGCUCAACCCUCGAAUGCCGGUGGAUACUGUCGGGCUAGAGUGCGGAAGAGGCGAGUGGAAUUCCUGGUGUAGCGGUGAAAUGCGCAGAUAUCAGGAGGAACACCGAUUGUGAAGGCAGCUCGCUGGGACGUCACUGACGCUGAGACGCGAAAGCGUGGGGAGCAAACAGG